rnacentral:rRNA from 1 species
AUUGAACGCUGGCGGCAGGCCUAACACAUGCAAGUCGAGCGGAUGAAGGGAGCUUGCUCCUGGAUUCAGCGGCGGACGGGUGAGUAAUGCCUAGGAAUCUGCCUGGUAGUGGGGGAUAACGUCCGGAAACGGGCGCUAAUACCGCAUACGUCCUGAGGGAGAAAGUGGGGGUUCUUGGGACCUAAGGCUUUCGGAUAGCCCUAGGUCGGAUUACCUAGUUGGUGGGGUAAAGGCCUACCAAGGCGACGAUCCGUAACUGGUCUGAGAGGAUGAUCAGUCACACUGGAACUGAGACACGGUCCAGACUCCUACGGGAGGCAGCAGUGGGGAAUAUUGGACAAUGGGCGAAAGCCUGAUCCAGCCAUGCCGCGUGUGUGAAGAAGGUCUUCGGAUUGUAAAGCACUUUAAGUUGGGAGGAAGGGCAGUAAGUUAAUACCUUGCUAUUUUGACGUUACCAACAGAAUAAGCACCGGCUAACUUCGUG